GUGGUGCUGGGCGAGGACAGCGCCCACGCACGACUGCAGGACCUGCUGCGCCACUACACGGCGCGCCCACUCAGCCCCUACGGGGAGAAGCUCAGCCAACCCCUAGCCCGCCAGACCCCAGAGCCUGCGGGGCUUUCCCCGAGGACUGAAGACUCAGACUUCAGAAGCAAAAGCCAGGACCCAAACUCCCUGCGAAAAUGGAGUCUGGCCCAAGCCUGGGCGCCACAGGAGGUACAGGAGGGAGGGGAAGACCUAGGGUGGGGGCAUGGCAAGGGGCAGAGCCAUGGGGGUGGGCCCCCCGCUGGGCCCAGGCUGGGACUCACUUCCCCCGCCCUGACCAGGCCCAGCCGCUCAGGCCCAAGCCUCCUGUCCCUGCCAAGCCUGUGCUGCCGACCGAGGUUUACGCCAGUCCGGAGCCUCGCCCCCGCCCAGCUCUGCCGCCCAGGCCUGUGCCCCCCAUCUACCAGGAGCCAGAGGAGCCCAUCGCCUUCUAUGCCAUGGGCCGGGGCUGCCCUGCCGAGGCGUCUGGCCACGUCUAUGCCGAGCUGGAUGGGCUGGAUGGGCCAGAGUCUUCCCUUGGACCUCCAAGGCCUAUUCAGGGAAUGGCACUGUCGCGCCAGGCCUCGACCCGACCCGCUGGCCACUCCCGCCCCUUCUUCCUCUGCCUCCCUUGGACCCUUCCCACCCUGCUGCCCGCCCCCAGCCCAUGGGCCUCACUGUCACCACACCCCCGCCAACUGCUGCAGCUGGAGAGCUGAUGUGGAUCUCAGCUUCUCUGUGUCCCCUGGCCUCCCCCCCACACACACACACACGGCCCAACGCCUCACCUUUGCCCCCAACGCUGCUCGCUUCCCCGUUCCCUGUCUUGAUCCACACCCCUCCAUCUGUCCAGCCCAGAACCCGGAGUCCCCUCCGUAUUUCCUCCCACUUCGCCCCCACUCCUAAAGCUAAUUCCUGAAUUCUUGCAGCCUCUCUUCCUAAAUGUCCCCCCAGCUAUACCUCGCAUUCUCGUUCUCUCUCUCUCCCAGGGAUCGAACUGGGGACUUUGCACUUUUGAGGCCACAGGCAGCAGCACACUGAGCUAAAACCCCUCUUUUUUGUUUUGUUUUGUUUUGGUACCGGUCCUGGCGCUUGCAAGGCAGGCCACCGAACGGCUGAGCUAAAUCCCCAGCCCUACUCCAUUCUCUGUUAAUCGGGACUUUCCAAGAGCUUCCUAACUGGUCCCUAACCACCAGUCUAGCCACUCUGAGCCUUCUGCCCCUAGGCAGUCAGACCUUCCUGGAGGCCCCUCCUUCCCUCGGUGGGUCCUAGCCCCUCAACUCCCUGCCGGGCACCCCCAUCCUCCCAAGCCAUGCACCCUUCUCCAACACAGCGGGUGGGCCCUGCCUUUCCUGCUCCCCUGCUCCUCCUGCUCCCCAACAGUCGUCUAACCAUCCUUCUAGGUCUGCUUGUCGAGGAUUUGGGAUGUUGCUCAGUCAGAGCGCUUGCCUAGUGUGUGAAGGCCCUAUGUUUAAUUCCUAGUACCACAAAAACAAAGCAAAAAAUCCAUUUGUCCUUCUCUGGAAAGACUUGGCUGACCUGACCACAGAGCUCAGCCACUGUACUUUGCACAACCCCACCACGCCAUUGGCCACCUGGGACCCCGUCCUUGCAUCUCAGCCCUCACCCUCCCCUCAGUAGAGUAUGAACCCCUGUGAGCAGGGCCUGGGGCUUUCUUAGCUGUUUCCUGAGUGAGCGUGCGGUGUCUGGCACAGAGCUGGUACUCAGGAGGGCUUGUGGAAGGAAGGGAGGGAGGAGAGGGCUCUGGAAGCUGAAGUCUGCUAAGACCAGCUGCCUCUGCCCUUGAGACCACGCCGAGGGGAGAGGCUGCGACCCAGGACUGUCUUCCUCUCUGCAGAACCCAGGCAGUCUGCAACUGUAUCCUGAGAACCCUGUGCUGGGACAAGGCCCCCCACUUCCCCAGCAACCUCCACCUGGCUGGAGGCACACCCUGCCCCCCAACCUUUCCAGACAAGUGCUUCAAGACAGAGGCCUGGCCUGGCUUCCCCUUGGGCCUUCUCAGUAAGUGGUGAGCCUGUGCUGGAGAGGAUGACUUGGGCCCUCAGGGGCAGAGACCUCCACACAUACCUGGGUUACCUCAGGAAGUAGAUAGGAGAAACCAUAUGCAAUCAAAGCCGAAAAGCACCUCAGUCCCGAUCUAUCACGAGGAUGGCAAAGAGGUGUCAUCUUGCCUGCCAACUCCAAUCCAUUGGUCAUGGCUGCCCAGAGUGCAGCACUGAAAAAUAUGUUAAGGUCACAUCUGAACUCAGCAGAAAAGAGCACUGUGAUUGAUUAGUGAUGUCUUCUCUGGGCAGGAGGGAGCGGGAGGAGGAGCAGCUCUUGUCUGCUCUUACUAACCAAGUCUAGCUCCCUCACCGUGCAGAUAAGGAAAUAAAGACAGAGAGGCACAGUGCCUUAGCCAAGGUCAAGAACCAGAGCCCAAGCUUCCUAGUUCCUUGGUUCAGUGCUGUGCUCCUUUCCCCACAUCCUCUAGCUCUUCUGCCUAGGGGCCAAAUUUCCUCAGGUAGCAAAUCUGCCUGCUUUCCAGUUCUACCAUGGGGCCCUUAGGGUUAGGUCCAGAACCCCAUUUGAGCCCCAUACCUUUGACAGCCUGCCCCCACCCCCACCCCAAGAAGCCUAGGGGUCGGAGGGGCCAAUGUGGUAUGUGCCUCCUCACAGGACCGUGUUACCAGCUCAUUCUGAGAGUCCCUGAGAAUCGCUGCCAGCGACCCUCUAAGAUGGUGAGACGUGUGCAAGGAGGCACUGCCCUAGUUUCUCCUCCUGGAGUCUAAUUUCCUCAGUCCUCUGGGCCUUGGAGUCUGGGCCCUGGUCCAAUGCUGCUGUUGUCUGAGGAGUGGUUUGGUGAGAACAGAUGUUAGAACUUGUUUGUUGAUUCUUGUCUGGCUAAUAAAUCUUCACCAACA
ensembl:lincRNA